rnacentral:misc_RNA from 1 species
GAUGAAGAACGUAGCGAAAUGCGAUACCUGGUGUGAAUUGCAGAAUCCCGCGAACCAUCGAGUCUUUGAACGCAAGUUGCGCCCGAGGCCACCCGGCCGAGGGCACGCCUGCCUGGGCGUCACGCCAAAACACGCUCCCACCCCCCCUCACCGGGGGAGCGGGACGCGGCGUCUGGCCCCCCGUGCCGCGAGGCGCGGUGGGCCGAAGAUCGGGCUGCCGGCGUACCGUGCCGGGCACAGCGCGUGGUGGAUCUCUACUCGGCGCAGUGCACCCGUCGCGUAGCCGGCGCAGCGGCCCCUAAGGACCCAACGAACGGAGCGCGAGCCGCUCCGACCGCGACCCCAGGUCAGGCGGGACUACCCGCUGAGUUUAAGCAUAUCAAUAAGCGGAGGA